AGGAACCCAAUGCAAAGAUGCGACUCUAUCCAAGGGAUAGAUUUGACUAAAUGGCGGGAAUGAUGUGGGAGAAAAAUAGUUUAGGCAAGAAAUUUGGUAAAGGAGGUCACACAGAAAAGAUAAAAGGCGCAUUUUUAGUUGAAAAAAUUGCAGUCUGAAAAUGAAGUGCCUCAGUGUGGAAAAUAAACAGUUAAAGAUCUCAGUGGAAAUAACCAGAUUUGGCUGAGUUAAACGCACCAAACAUUGUCAUUAUUACAUUAAAUAGAAUCUCAUUAAUAAAAUGCCAUAAAAAUGUG